AAUAAUAAUGUGAAAGCUCAGGUACACUUGCAGAGUCUCCAAAAGUAACUACAGUGGAAAUUGACUCCAAAUCACCACCAAACAAAUGAAGCUAAAUAAUGUCCAACCACUGGUCACUCGAGUACACCUCCCAACCUUGGAGUGAUUGUCCUUUAAAAGCUUAAAAUUUUUAUGCAAUGCAAUCAUACACCAAAACUUCAUCCCCAAUUCAUAGAUUUUUUUUUUAACUACUCCCCCAUUUCUUUCUUUUUCAAACAAUCAGAAUUUCUUUGAUGCUAGAAACUAGUAGGAAAAGAAACACAUUGUAUCAAAUUCACCAUAAGUUUCUGCAAAACAAUACCAUAGAAAAUCUUAUAUUUUAUUCUUUUUUUACACUCAAUCAAUGAAAGCAUAAGGAAACUCAUUCCACUCAAACACAACAAGAAGAGUUGAGUUCAAUCAAAUACGAAAUGCAUUUCUUUUUAGCCAACACUCAAUGAUGUCAUUUUG
rnacentral:misc_RNA from 1 species